rnacentral:rRNA from 1 species
CACGUACUGUGCGAACGUUAUUCGGAAUCACUGGGCUUAAAGGGUGCGUAGGCGGCAAUCCAAGUCAGAUGUGAAAUGCCUGAGCUUAACUGAGGCACUGCGUUUGAAACUGGAUUGCUUGAGUAUUUCAGGGGUGUGCGGAACUGCCAGUGGAGCGGUGAAAUGUGUUGAUAUUGGCAGGAACACCGGAGGCGAAAGCGGCACACUGGGGAAUAACUGACGCUGAGGCACGAAAGCCAGGGUAGCGAACGGG